rnacentral:tRNA from 1 species
GGUCCUGUAGCACAAUGGAUAGUGCAUCGGUCUCCGAAGCCGGGGAUACAGGUUCGAUUCCUGUCAGGACCACCA